UCCCUGGUGGUCCAGCGGCUAAGAUUCCACACUCCCAAUGCGGGGGGCCCAGGUUCAAUUCCUGGUCAGGGAA
rfam:Ovis aries breed Texel chromosome 7, whole genome shotgun sequence.